GGCCUAGCCUCUGUGGCGCUGUGAUCUGGUUAUUGGGAGAUUCACAGCUAAGACGCCAGGAUGCCCCAGAAGCCUAGAAAUGCUCUGUGUUCUCAUUUUGCCCAAGACCUUUGGCUAGAGCAGAACAUAAAAGACUCUUUCCAAAAAGUGACACUGAGCAGAUAUGGAAAAUAUGGACAUAAGAAUUUACAGUUAAGAAAUGGCUGUAAAAGUGUGGAUGAGUGUAAGGGACACCAAGGAGGUUAUAAUGGACUUAACCAAUGUUUGAAAACUACCUCGAGCAAAAUAUUUCAAUGUAAUAAAUAUGUAAAAGUCAUGCAUAAAUUUUCAAAUUCAAAUAGACACAAGAUAAGACAUACUGAAAAUAAACAUUUCAGAUGCAAAGAAUGUGACAAAUCACUUUGCAUGCUUUCACGCCUAACUCAACAUAAAAGAAUUCAUACUAGAGAGAAUUUCUACAAAUGUGAAGAAUGUGGAAAAACCUUUAACUGGUCCACAAACCUUUCUAAACCUAAGAAAAUUCAUACUGGAGAAAAACCCUACAAAUGUGAAGUAUGUGGAAAAGCCUUUCACCAAUCCUCAAUCCUUACUAAACAUAAGAUAAUUCGUACUGGAGAAAAACCCUAUAAAUGGGCACACUGUGGCAAAGCCUUUAACCAGUCCUCACACCUUACUAGACAUAAUUCAUACUGAAGAGAAAGCCUAAAAAUGUCAACAAUGUGGCAAGGUCUUUAAGCAGUCCCCAACCCUUACUAAACAUCAGAUAAUUUAUACUGGAGAGGAACCAUACAAAUGUGAGGAAUGUGGCAAAACUUUUAACCUAUCUUAACAACUUACUGAACAUAAGAAAAUUUAUACUAGAGAGAAAGCCUACAAAUGUGAAGAAUGUGGCAAAGCCUUUAACCAGUUUUCAACCCUUACUACACAAGAUAAUUCAUAGCGGAGAGAAACCCCACAAAUGUGAAGAAUGUGGCAAAUGAGCCGCAAAGCUCACUGAACAUAAGUUAAUUCAUACUGGAGAAAAACCCUACAAAUGUAAAGAAUGUGGAAAAGCUUUUCACCGAUACUCAAUCCUUAGUACACAUAAGAAAAUUCAUACUGGGGAGAAACCCUACAAAUGUGAAGAAUGUGGAAAAGCCUUUAACCGGUCCUCAACUCUUACUACACAUAAGAUAAUUCACAGUGGAGAAAAACCCUACAAAUGUGAAGAAUGUGGCAAAGCUUUUAACCAAUCCUCACACCUUAUGAGACAUAAGAAAACUCAUAGUAGAGAGAAACCCUACAAAUGUGAACAGUGUGGCAAGGUCUUUAAGAAGUCCUCAACUCUUACUGCAUGUAAGAUCAUUCAUACUGGAGAGGAACCUUACAAAUGUGAGGAAUGUGGCAAAGGUUUUAGCCAACUCUCAAACCUUACUAAACAUAAGAAGAUUCAUACUAGAGAGAAACCCUACAAAUGUGAAGAAUGUGGCAAAUCUUUUAACCAGUUCUCACUUGCUAUACAUAAUUCAUACUUGAAUGAAACCCUACAAAUGUGAACAAUGUGGCAGAUCUUUUAACCAGUUCUCAAACUUUACUAUGCAUAAGAAAGUUCAAACUGGAGAGAAACUCUACAAAUGUGAAGAAUGUGGCAAAGCUUUUAACCAAGUCUCAACACUUACUAUACAUAAGAUAAUUUAUACUGGAGCAAAACCUUGGAAAUUCAAAGAAUGUGGUAAAACUUAACAAUCCUCAAAACUUUCUACACAUAAGAAAAUUCAUGUAGGAGAGAAACCCCACAAAUGUGAAAAAUUUUGUAAAUUCUUUAACCAGUCUUCAACCCUUUCUACACAUAGUAUAAUUCAUACUGGAGAGAAACCCCACAAAUAUGAAGAAUGUGGUAAUGCUUUUUAACCAAUUCUCAAAUCUUACUAAACAAAAGAAGAUUAAUACUGAAAAUGUUACAAACCAGAAAAAUGUGACAAUGAUUUUAACAAAACCUUCAAAUUUUUCUAAACAUAAAGGAAAUCAUACUGGGAAGAAAUUAUAAAAAUGUGAAGAAUGUGACAAAGCCUUUAAAUGGUUGUCACACUUGAUUGUAGGUAAGAUAAUUCAUACUGGUGGAAACUCCCAGAAGUGUGAAGCAUAUGGCAAAACUUUAAUUCCUAUACCUUAUUGCACAGGAAAGCAUUUAUACUUCAGAAAAUAUUGUACUGAUAUAAAGAAUGUGGAAAAGCCAUUAAUAUGUGCUUACAUCUUAUUCAACAUUAGAGAGUUAGUACUUAAUAAAAGCAUUAUAAAUGCAAUUACUGUCAAAAA
rnacentral:sRNA from 1 species